UCGCUUUGGGCGGGCUCGACGCGCAACAUACCAUUAGAAAAAUACAUCCUGAGUGGAAGUGUUUGACAUGAGGAUAGAGGCAACUGUCAGUCUGAGACGUCAAAAGAUUCACGAAGACGGAUAACUGUACAAAAAUGUCAACAAAGGACGUAUUUGUCAGAUGCCGAAUCUGAUUUUGGGUAUUGUCGCGGCUGUCCAUUUCCAAACGGAAACCACAGCUAGCUUCUGUACUGGACAGCAAGCACCCGCUAGCUAGUUAGCUUAUUCUCGAUUCCAGGACACGUCUCUUCAUUUAAAAUACAAAACUGAAUGUUGUUUCAGUCAUGAGUCCAGCCGGGUGCUCACAUGUGAACGCUUAUAAGGUGGACAAUUGGAGGCAAAACCUACGAGUCAUAUAUCAAUGCUUUGUUUGGAGCGGGAGUGCUGAAGCCAGGAGACGAAAGGUGCUUCAGAAUGAUGUGAGAUGGACAGCAUUGUCUCAGAGCCCUCUCUUUUCAAAUUAAUUAACCGAGCGCAUCCUCUGAAGCCUCACUGUGUGCACACUGCUCACAGCUACGAUCAAAACUCCCAGAGGUAACCACCAGUAACCACAACUCUGCAGCUAGCUCCCUAAAGCCCCAGGAGGAGCAUGUUGAA